UCCUGGGCCUGAUACAUAAACAUCAAGAGAAAAAAAAAAAUUCGUUGUCACCUGAGAUUACUAAAAGCCCUUUAGCAGCAGGAAGAAAUUAGGUGAAGAGGCACACAGAGCAGAGAUAAGCAGAAAAGAAAAAGAGAGAGGGUUGACAGCACUGAAUACUUGACCCCAAUUCCUGGUAGUCUUGAAGGCCAUAUUUUUUUAACUCUUUCUUCAAUUCUAUUAGGGAUUACAGUAUCCUUUUCAUAAGCACAAGCCACAUAUUUAUGUGUUGCUUAAGGUUCUUAGAGUUGUGACUCACUUCCUUGCCCUGAAUAGUAUAGUCAUGAUCUGUAUAACACAGUUUCAGUCAAUAAUAGACCAUAUUUAUGAUGGUGGUCCCAUAAAAUUAUAAUACCAUAUUUUUCCUAUACCUUUUCUAUGUUUAGAUAUACUUAUUAUACAUACACAAAACCCAUUGUGUUUUAAUUGCCUACAGUAUUUAGUACAGUAACAUGCUGUACAGGUUUGCAGCUUAGGAGCAAUAGCUAUACCAUAUAGCCUUAGGUGGGUAGUAGGUUAUGUCAAACUCUAUGAUGAUUGCACAAUGAUGAAAUCGCCUAACAAUGCAGUUCUCAGAACAUAUCUUCGUUGUUAAGGGAUGCAUGACUGUAUUUUGAGUAAGUAUUCACUUGACAGGCAGGGCAAGGAAGGAGACUCUGGGAAGAGAGUGGAAUGGACACAGGUGUGAAGGGUUGUGCUGGGGGCUAAACAAUUACAGUCUUCACCCAGUUCUAGCAGGACAAAUGGGAAGAGAGAGAAGCCUGGAAAGCUUAAAGAAAAGACACAUUUCAAGAUCUAGCAACACAGAGUUGAGGAAAUGCUGGCCACUGUGUAUCUGGAAGGCAGCGGAGCGUACGUCUCCACGUAGCUUGCCCUCUCCCAUUAUUCCGCUAGAAACCACUUCAUCACUCUCCGGGCUGACAGUCAAAUGCCAGCUUUAUUUUCUUUUUUAUCAACCCAAUCUUUCAUUUUUGAUUUGAGGCAAGUCACUUUUAAGGUCUCCACAAUGGUUUAUAACUUUCUUCCUUGAGAGGUGUCCAAGAAGUAACACAAGGUGAAAAAUCUUACUCUCUCACGGUAAAGCCUGGGAAACUCACCUGCCCUGGAGGCGGAUGUGGUCAGAAGUCCUGGUCAGACCACAGGACUUUGCUGGGAAUAAUGCCACGGAAAGUGUGAGAAAAGCUUAUCAUGAGGUUAUCUCUUUAAUGUAAUAAUUCAAUGUGGAAUUUAAAAAAAUAAACGUUGUAUCAAACCCAUUUUUAGCCAGUGAUGUAUUAUGAAGGUGACAUUUUGAGGUCAUUCAAUUCACUUGAAAACUAGGAAAAAAUGAUCUAUGAAAAGAUUAUUUUAACAUAUUCUUUUUAUUCAAAGGCUUAAUUCAGAUUGAAAACACUCCUGUAUCUUUUUAGUUAAUGUUCUUUUCUCUUUUGGAAACAUAUCCAGUGCGUAUAUAAGCAAGUAUGUUUAUGUCUGUUGGUAUUUGGCACAGAAAGCUAAUUCUUGAUUAUUUGUGAGAAAUUGAAACUACUUCAUAAAUUAAAAAUAUUAAUAGUCUUUUUUAUAUCUUGUCUAUUUACUUCAAAGGGAACAUAUAAUUCUAUAGCAAUUAUUUUAAAACAUAACACACCAGAAUCACUUUUGUGUGUAUGUGUGUCUGUUUAACACAAAGACCUGGAAUUUAUAUGCACUUAUUGCAAUAUUCAAAAUCUCCCCACAUGCAAAUGAAUAUUUAAAUUCCUAGAUAAUUCUGAUAAUUAGUCGGUUUUGAGAGCCAGUGUCUUGACUGCAUCAUGAAAAAAAUAUUGGUAGCAAAAUGAGAAGUUUUAGUUUUGUUUUAAAAUUUGCAGUCUAUUGAAGACCAAUAGUCUUUAAAACACAAUAUAAAUUAACCAACAAAUUAGAUAUACAGAUGAUAAGCCUUACAUUUUAUCAGAUUCAACAGAUAUAAAAUUAUUCCAUCAAAUUGCUGUUUUUAAAUGGUAAAUUUAUGUAAGUAUCUCCCUGUAGACUGCUAGCCAAGAAUUUGUGAGUUGGCACAGGUAAGUAGACCACUCAUCGACUAGCACACCUUUAGGCCUUCACAUCUUUGCCCUGGACAUCUUUCCAACUGCAUUUGUUAGGUCCGGUGGAAGGUGAACAGGUGGCAAGGAAGCGGCUAAGAGCAGAGAGCUGUAACCAAAUUGUAGCUAGGAACUAAAGUGCAGCUAGGAACUGUUCCCUGGUGGGAACAUACAUGGUAAAAAGUUCCUACUAACCUUUAACUGACCUAGAGUUUAUUACCAUCUAAUUAACAUAACAUGGGUGGAGCGUCACAAAGAAUUCUGGGAAAGAAGCAGGCACAGAAAGAAAAACUGUUACAUAAUCCCAACCUGUUACAUAACCCCAACCUGUCAAUCACCCCCAAAGGCAGACCCUACAACCAAUCCUGCCAGGAGAAAGGCGGGACAGACUAGUGAGCUUUUAAAAGGCAGUGUGUGCUCAGUCUUUGGGGUCUUUCUCCACUCAGGGAUACUGACCCUAUCCACUCCCUCUGGAGCGUAUUUUCACCCUGUGUAAUUUCCUUCGUUGCUUCCAUUCUUUCUUUUAUGUGAUAAACUGUUUAUAUAAAAUUGCUCUGUGUUUGCAAUCACUCAUGGGGAAUCAGGGGAUCAGGGAACAUCCAGACAGACGAACCUAAACACACUGUCUACCUCCAGUUACUCCACAGCAGCUAGAAUGAUCUUUUCAGAGAGUGAAGAAAAUCCUAUCACCACCUUAACACUCCAGCAAAGUACACAGAAAUGGAGAAUCAAAUGGUGGUUACCAGAGGCAGCAUUGUGGGGGUGGUAGAAAAUAAGGGAACGACGGUCAAAGGACAUGAAGUUGCAGGUAUGUAAGGUGAGUAAGUCCAGAGAUCUAAAGUACAAAAGGAGGACUCUAGUUGAUAAUGUUGUAUUCUAUUCAGGAUUUUUGCUAAGAGAAUAGGUUUUUAGGUGCUCUCACCACAAAAAGGGGGAUAAAUAUGUGAGAUGAUGAGUAACGUUAAUUUGAUUUACUAUGGCGACUAUUUUACUAUGAUAAGAUUAUCAAAUACCAGGUUUUACACCUGAAAUAUACAAAACAUAAAUAAAGUUGAAUAAAAUCCAAACCUUUUACCCUGACUUACAAAGGAGCUGCCUCCUGUCUAGCCGCAAUGACUCCCCCUCUUAUUAAUACCCACACUGGUCUCCCUUCCACACACUCCUCAGGACUGCGGAAGCCCCUUCAUGUCUCAGAGCCCUUGCUCUGGCUCCUCCUUCUCCCUGGAUGGUUCGUCCCUCUGGUCAGAGCAGUGACUGGUCACUUUUCAGUCAGGUCUCAUUUGAAAUGUAACUAUAGCAUUUAGUUUCAAAUAGCAACUCCCCUACACACACACACACACACAUCUCAAACUACGUCUCUACCUGCAAACGCUAUUUUAUUUUCUUCACCGUUCUCCUCUCUCCUGAAAUUUUCUUUUAAUUUGUUCAGGUAUCUCUCCCUCCUGGAACAUAAGCUCCAAGGCAGCAGGAAUGUUGUUCACUGCCACAGUCUCCAUGCUGAGAAAGGUGCUGGUAGACACUAGGUGGGCGAGAUGCACUUGCCGAACGAAUGAACAUGCCAACUUCAUCAUGAACCAUAAAAAAGAUACUCAAGGAAUGCUAACUUUCGUUUUACCUCUCUUCCAUCUUUUUUUUUUUUUUGUCAUGGCUGAGGAAUUGCAAAAUGCCAUUGAAACUAAAGCUGAUUUUUUCUUCUGUCCCCUGCCAACAGCACUGGUACUGCAAAUGUAUAAAUUCGUCUGUGAGGUGAUACCAGCCAUUUGUAGUCUGAAACAGACAGGAAAUGAGUAUGAAGCCAGAAUGGAAGGCACUGGUAUCUGUCUAGUCUUACCUAAAUGGGAUAUUAAUUUCAAGACUUUGUUUUUCUAAAUGACCUAAAUGAUUUUGGAUUUUCAGAUCACUGGAUGCCUCCAUAACCAAAAGAAAUCCUUUCCAGAAUAAAAUGUAAAUGGUUCUCAGAAGAUUGCCUGCUUAGGAUUAGCUGUCUUGCUCUCUAUUGUCGUGCAUUUUUCAAAGUUGGCUGCAAAUGCAAACUUACAGAUAAGUAUAAAACAAAAUUAACAGCUCACUUUUCCCCUGGCUACACACCCUGCAUUACACAGAUAGCAAAACCCACUGGCAGUGUUCCUCAGAGCUGAUCCACAUGGAUGGUUUUUGCUCCUGAUGCCGGGGUAUAUGACAAUAUGCUGGGACCUGUGGAUAUCUGAGAGGGUAGUUUUUAUGGGAACUUAUAUGUGCAAAUAAAAUCUGUUAUUUUCCAAAUUAAAAAUAAACCUCAAAGGCAAUGGACUCCCAAUGGCUUGGAGAGAUUUAUUAAUAAAAUAGGAAAGGAUAUAAAGGGAUAUCAAAUUAAAUGACAUUUGGAAUACACAUAAAAUUUGGUUCCAGUGGUCUCCAUUUUCAUCUUAGCUGCAUUGCUUUCUCCAGUUUACUGAAGAUGAUC